AGGAAAAGAAACCAACAGGGAUUGCCCUAGUAACGGCGAGUGAAGCGGCAACAGCUCAAAUUUGAAAUCUGGCGCAAGCCCGAGUUGUAAUUUGUAGAGGAUGCUUCUAGGUAGCGACCGGUCUAAGUUCCUUGGAACAGGACGUCAUAGAGGGUGAGAAUCCCGUAUGUGACCGGCCCGCACCUUCCACGUAGCUCCUUCGACGAGUCGAGUUGUUUGGGAAUGCAGCUCUAAAUGGGAGGUAAAUUUCUUCUAAAGCUAAAUACCGGCCAGAGACCGAUAGCGCACAAGUAGAGUGAUCGAAAGAUGAAAAGCACUUUGGAAAGAGAGUUAAAAAGCACGUGAAAUUGUUGAAAGGGAAGCGCUUACAACCAGACUUCUGGGCGGUGUUCCGCCGGUCUUUUGACCGGUCUACUCUCCGUCCCGAGGCCAACAUCAUCUGGGACCGCUGGAUAAGACCUGAGGAAUGUAGCUCCCCUCGGGGAGUGUUAUAGCCUCUGGUGAUGCAGCGCGUCCCGGGUGAGGUCCGCGCUUCGGCAAGGAUGUUGGCGUAAUGGUUGUCAGCGGCCCGUCUUGAAACACGGACCAAGGAGUCUAACAUCUAUGCGAGUGUUCGGGUGUCAAACCCCUACGCGUAAUGAAAGUGAACGGAGGUGGGAAGCGCAAGCUGCACCAUCGACCGAUCCUGAUGUCCUCGGAUGGAUUUGAGUAAGAGCAUAGCUGUUGGGACCCGAAAGAUGGUGAACUAUGCCUGAAUAGGGUGAAGCCAGAGGAAACUCUGGUGGAGGCUCGCAGCGGUUCUGACGUGCAAAUCGAUCGUCAAAUUUGGGUAUAGGGGCGAAAGACUAAUC
rnacentral:rRNA from 1 species